UCCCUGGUGGUCCAGAGGCUAAGACUCUGUGCUCUCACUGCAGGAGCCCAGGUUCAAUCCCUGGUCAGAAAA
rnacentral:tRNA from 1 species